UAAGGAAUAUUGGUCAAUGGACGCAAGUCUGAACCAGCCAUGCCGCGUGGAGGAUGAAUGCCCUCUGGGUUGUAAACUCCUUUUAUCUGGGACGAAAUCACCUUUUUCUAAGGGUGUUGACGGUACCAGAGGAAUAAGCACCGGCUAACUCCGUGCCAGCAGCCGCGGUAAUACGGAGGGUGCAAGCGUUAUCCGGAUUCACUGGGUUUAAAGGGUGCGUAGGCGGGUCUGUAAGUCCGUGGUGAAAUCUCCAAGCUUAACUUGGAAACUGCCGUGGAUACUAUAGACCUUGAAUGUUGUGGAGGUUAGCGGAAUAUGUCAUGUAGCGGUGAAAUGCAUAGAUAUGACAUAGAACACCAAUUGCGAAGGCAGCUGGCUACACAAAUAUUGACGCUGAGGC
rnacentral:rRNA from 1 species